rnacentral:rRNA from 1 species
UUGUCCUACGGGACGCAGCAGUGGGGAAUAUUGGGCAAUGGGCGCAAGCCUGACCCAGCAACGCCGCGUGAAGGAAGAAGGCUUUCGGGUUGUAAACUUCUUUUAUGAGGGACGAAAGAAAUGACGGUACCUCAUGAAUAAGCCACGGCUAACUACGUGCCAGUAGCCGCGGUAAUACGUAGGCGGCAAGCGUUAUCCGGAUUUACUGGGCGUAAAGGGCGUGUAGGCGGGACUGCAAGUCAGAUGUGAAAAUUAUGGGCUCAACCCAUAACCUGCAUUUGGAACUGUCGUUCUUGAGUGAUGGG